CAUUGUGCAGUUGCAAAUAAUUGUGAUGACGUCUACUGAAGUGCGUGCAUUCGUGGCAUUCUGUGCAGACGCUGGCGUUGAGCGGCAGCGUUCCUUCGUAGCUCCUUGUACUUGAAAUUCAUCGAGCGGAAAUGGGUGCCCAAGAUAACGAGAGUGAGCCUGAGCAGUUCAGGAAGCUGUUCAUCGGCGGCUUGGACUACAAGACCACGGAGGAGAGCCUGAAAGGCCACUUCGAGCAAUGGGGCGAAGUCGUGGACUGCGUCGUCAUGCGAGAUCCCAGCACCAAAAAGAGCCGUGGCUUCGGCUUUAUCACCUUCCGUCGCGCGCACAUGGUCGACGACGCGCAAGCGGCACGACCGCACAAGGUCGAUGGCCGUGAGGUGGAACCAAAGCGGGCCGUACCACGUGAGGAGGCUGGCAGACCCGAGGCGCAAGCCACUGUGAAGAAAGUCUUCGUUGGCGGUCUCAAAGACGACGUCGACGAGUCCGAUCUCCGGGACUACUUCUCACAGUUUGGAAACAUCCUCUCCGUCAACUUGGUCACCGAGAAGGACACCGGCCGCAAGCGUGGCUUUGCCUUUGUCGAGUACGACGACUACGACCCAGUGGACAAGAUUGUCCUGAAGCGCCACCACAUGCUGAAGGGAAAAAGGACCGAAGUGAAGAAGGCCCUUUCUAAACAAGAAAUGGAAAACCUCAAGAAGGACAAGCGGCCCGCAUUCAGGGGCGGUCGCGGUGGCCGUGGUGACGGCUGGGAAGGCGGCUACGGCGGUGGUGGAUAUGGUGGCGGCGGCUACGGCGGUGGUGGUUACGGCUCGGGCGGAGGUGGCUACGGAAGUGGUGGCGGCGGCUACGGCGGUGGUGGCUGGAGCCAAGGCGGAGGCGGCUACGGAGACAGCUUCAGCCAGGGCGGCUGGGGAGGUGGCGGCGGCGGAGACUUUGGCUCCGGCUACGGCAACAGCUAUGGUGGUGGACCCAUGCGCGGAGGCCCAGGUGGCUACUCUCAGCGUGGGUCUGGCCCAUACGGUGAGUCUUCAUAUGGCAACGGCAGUGCGGGAGGCGGCGGCGGCUACCGGAGAUAAACAAGUCGUCGUGGUUUUAACUGGGGGAGUUCGAACAGGCUGCUGGCCUUGCCAUAAGGACGUGGUGCGCCAAGGAGCCAGGCAAAAGGGACAUUUUAAGAUCUAAAGUCUGCAGGAGCUGGAACCUCCUGCAGCAGUCCUGCUGGCCCACUUGCUUGGUUCUGUGCCAGGCAUUGCCGUUGGCUCAUCGAAUGCACUGCGUGCCUGCCCUUGUACAAUCUCGUGGACACAUUGAAAUAAAAAGUUUCACAGUUGUA
rnacentral:misc_RNA from 1 species